GGGGCAGGGAGCUAUUGCGGGGCCCUGGGGAGAGAAGGGCAGAAGGUUCCCUACAGUGGGAGAGUCUCCGACGGACGGAGGGCAGCAAGGGAGCAAGACCAGGGGUGAGACAGCCUCUCACUCAUCCCCAGGAGCCUGGAGGCAGGCGGGAUGGGCACAGCAGGAGAGGCAGCACCUGGAGGAACCUUCGGGUCCCGACAAGCCAGCCCAUCCUCAGAGCCAAGGUGGCUUCCACGGAACCGAGAGGACACCCGAGAACCCACGUGCACAGAGACAAAGAAUUUGAGGAUGUGCCGGCAGCCAAGUGACAGCCCAUCAGUCUCUGCCCAGACACCCUCUUGACAGCUCCUGCCCCAGCCCGGAUGCCACCCCACCCAACGGUCACCCCCAGCACCAGGCCAGGAAGGGAGGCGGCCCAGGGAAGAAGGGGCUGUGGGGAAAGGCACGGAGUCCGGAAGCCCAGAGGAACAGUCUUCAACCUGUGGAUCCGGCCGCGCCUGGCCCCGCAGAUCACUACUCCUACACGUCUUGAGGCAAGGUGACCCCAGCGUGUGACUCCUGGAGAGCAGCCCGUCAGCACCUCUGCAUGUUGGGCAGGUCCCAGAGGCAAUGGCUCUGGACAAGGAGGCCAAGGUUUAAAACCCAGUUCAGCCACUUCCCGGUCAUCAUACUUCUCCGUGCCUCAGUUUCUCCCCUGUAAAGAAGAGCUGUUUGACUCACUUGGCACUAAGGGGUAGUAGGUGAUACAAUGAAGGAGUGCUCAAAGGAAGGGACUCUUAACCCAGACUGAGCCCUGGCAGAGUCUCAAGCCGGACCCGGUUAUAGAAUUUUCAUUCGUGAGGAAUGAGCCCACCCAUCCCCAGCUGGAGACAGCAAGUCGGGGUUUCUACGCAAAACUCUCAUGAGCUUGUCUUUUCUGGAAGACAGUCCCUUCCCGAGUCCUUGCUACCCUUUCUUACAGAUCACAUGCUUUCACAGCCCGCUCCACCUACAUUAAUGGAGCCUAGAAAGUCAAGGUCUCUUCUCUAAGGUCGCUGGCUAGGAAGAGAAGGAAGCAGGACUUGAACCCAUGCCUUCAAGCACUGAGGACAACUUUUCUCUCGUCCCUGCUCCCACCUCUUCUGCUGGUUCAGCGGUGGAAACCAGUCCCUGCUUUCUGCAGGAACCUGAAAGAAGAGGCCUUAAACUCGGAUUGUUUGGGGAUUACUGGGCUCUUGGCUCCGAGGGACAAAGCUCAGGCCUCUGGGGGGACCGAGCUCGAUGGGACAGGAGAACCAUGUUUCCAUGGAGGCAGGGGCUUCCCUGGGAAAGUUCUCCUGUACCCCCACUGGGCCUUCCCUCCUCCCUCCCAGUUAUUGAUGCUUCACACACAGUCCCACCCAGUGGGCGAGUAACAGAUGGAAGGGCGGACCCAAAAGGAGCAGAGGAAAGAGGCGUCCCUCGAGCCAUGUGACAGUUUUCUCUCCGUCCCCAGUCUCAUCCAGCUAGUGUCCCUGGGCACCUCAGCAGGCCCAGCUGCUGCAGCUCAUUACAGGUGGGGGCUCCGGAGCCCAGGGCCGGGCUGUGGCACUGACCGCAGGUCUGGGCCAAGGUGCUCCGUAGCUAUGGACUAACACAGUGGGUUGUGAAGACUUUGUGCCCCCGAAGAGGACUGUAAAAUAUCUCACCAACAGCCCUUUGUAUCGACAACCUAUUGAAAUGUAAUAUUACGCUCAAACAGGGUUGAGUGAAGUAUGUCAUGAAAAUGAACUUCACCCGCCACUUUGCGCUGUUCCACUGUGUUAUUCGGAAAUGUAAACUACACGUGGCCUGCAUUUGUGACUGUGCUCCAUUUCUGGGGGGCGCAGAGGGGGCUCCCAGGUCCCCAAAUAGCAGGUGGCAUCCGCUUCGAUUUCCCAGUUUGGAUCCUGCAUCCCUCCUGGAAUCAGCCCUGGCCUCACCCUGGCUGGGACAGCACCGGCACAGGGCCCCUUGGAGGGCUCACGCAUACGCCUGUUGGUUGGCUCAGCGGCUGACUGAAGCCCUGUGUCCAUGCCCUCUUCGGGGGCUCCACAUACCCCAGGGAAAGGAGCGCCCAAACCCUCUGCUCCUGGGAGCCGACAUCCAGUAGGGACAACAGACAGUGAACAAGCAUGGCUUUCAGUGCUGAUAGAGACAAACGAGAGCCAGGGAAGAAAGAGCAGCCACACUGGUCUGCCCGCCUUUGGUCUUGCCCCUUUGACCCAUUCUCCAUGAACUGCUGGAGGGAUCUCGGGUCCACCCAUGUUCUCUCCUUGCUCCAAAGCCUUUGCUGGCUCCCAGCACCUCCAAGUGAAAGUCCAAGCUGCCCAGCCAGGCAGAAGGCCCUGCGUGAUCUGGCCCCACCAACUUCAUCACCCAGCCCACCAGCUUCCUGUGUGCACCUCCCAGGCCUUCCCAGAGUCCUGCAUUUGGCUUGUUCUCAUCCUCACAGGCCCCCGGGCUGGGUUGCUUAGGAUGGUGUGUGCCUGGCCACUUGUGGCUCUGCCCAUCCUACGAUCCUGUGUGUGCAUGGGCCACACACCUGCUGCCACCACAGCUCAUGCACACGUGUGUGUCUUCUCUUCUCGCAGGUGGGCCCCGUUCCCAAGUGUCCUCCCCCUCAAAGAGGCCCAGGCGUAUGGCAGGGGCUGCCCAGGCAGGAAAGAUGCUUGGACAGGGAACUGCGGAGGUGAAAGUGUCCUUCAAGGAGAUCCAGACCGACCCCGCCUGACCAGUUCUGCCUCCACAUAAGGGAAGACUGAGGCCAGGCCUGGGACCCAGAAUUAAAGGUGUAUUUUUAUCCAUCCAUGGGCCAUGGUGGAAGACAAUGCUUCAAUGGAAUCCCUGUACACAUCUCAAUGUACUCGAAUCAGCAGUUCUGCAGCAUGAAUUUUUACAGGUGUGGAGUGGUAGACACACUUCAUGUUUUGAUAAAUGCAGCAAAUUGCUUUCCAAACACAAUGUAUCAAUAGAUCCAUUUACGCUCCUAGCGGCAGGGAAGUACCCA